CAAUAGCGUAUAUUAAAGUUGUUGCAGUUAAAAAGCUCGUAGUUGGAUUUCUGGUAGGAGUGACCGUUCCGAACUUGAUUGUUCGUGUAUUGUGUUUUCUCCAGCCAUCCUUGUGGAGAACUUUUCUUGCAUUAAUUUGUAGGGAUUGGGACCCGCAUCGUUUACUGUGAAAAAAUUAGAGUGUUUAAAGCAGGCAAUCGCUUGAAUACAUUAGCAUGGAAUAAUAAGAUAGGACUUUGGUACUAUUUUGUUGGUUUGCAUACCAAAUUAAUGAUCAACAGGAACAGUUUGAGGAUAUUCGUAUGAACAUGUCAGAGGUGAAAUUCUUGGAUUUUGAUCAGACGAACCACUGCGAAAGCAUUUAUCAAGGAUGUUUUCAUUAA
rnacentral:rRNA from 1 species